UACAGAGGGUGCGAGCGUUGUCCGGAAUCACUGGGCGUAAAGGGCGCGUAGGCGGCUUUUUAAGUCAGGGGUGAAAUCCUGGAGCUCAACUCCAGAACUGCCUUUGAUACUGAGAGGCUUGAGUCCGGGAGAGGUGAGUGGAACUGCGAGUGUAGAGGUGAAAUUCGUAGAUAUUCGCAAGAACACCAGUGGCGAAGGCGGCUCACUGGCCCGGUACUGACGCUGAGGUGCGAAAGCGUGGGGAGCAAACAGG
rnacentral:rRNA from 1 species